UCUAAUUUAUAAUCGGUACCAUAAUGUGACCAUAAUCUAUCAUAAUUAAUAUCGUAACCAUAGAUAUAGAUAUUGUAUCAGUCUGCGUUCAUCACUGUUGUGAUUUGCUGCAAAUUGAUAUGAAGAAUACAAAGAAUGCAUAAUAGCAUUAGUUUCAUCUGAGAAGGUUAUGGAGUGCUUUAGAUAAGGUUUAUUAUUUAACAACAUAUUGAUCUAGACGUUUAUCACUGGUAAAUUAUUUCUUGAUUUUUAUUUUUAUUGUUUACAAAAUAUUUCGGUAAUCAUGGAUAGUACCUUAUCAAAGUUUACUGCAACGAGAACAACCCCUGUUAGCGAAAAUGCUAAAAAACGAAAGUAUACUACAACAGCAGAUAGUGUAACAGAUAACGUUGAUAACUGGCACUCAAGUAGUAAAAAGUUUUCUCAACAACCACUUUCCACAUGCAGUAUAAAUAAUGUCAAAGAAAACAAUGAAAACAUAGUUCAUGGUUUUAACUCUGGUUUGAGCGAAUCAAAUAUAAAGCAGUGUAUUGAAA